GACGAACGCUGGCGGCGUGCUUAACACAUGCAAGUCGAACGGAAAGGCCUCUUUCGGGGGGUACUCGAGUGGCGAACGGGUGAGUAACACGUGAGUAACCUGCCCUUGACUUUGGGAUAACUUCAGGAAACUGGGGCUAAUACCGGAUAGGAGCUCCUGCUGCAUGGUGGGGGUUGGAAAGUUUCGGCGGUUGGGGAUGGACUCGCGGCUUAUCAGCUUGUUGGUGGGGUAGUGGCUUACCAAGGCUUUGACGGGUAGCCGGCCUGAGAGGGUGACCGGCCACAUUGGGACUGAGAUACGGCCCAGACUCCUACGGGAGGCAGCAGUGGGGAAUAUUGCACAAUGGGUGGAAGACUGAUGCAGCAACGCCGUGUGCGGGAUGACGGCCUUCGGGUUGUAAACCGCUUUCGCUCAUGACGAAGCUUUGUGUGACGGUAGUGGGUAAAGAAGCACCGGCUAACUACGUG
rnacentral:rRNA from 1 species